GUACUCGCUUCGGCGGCACAUAUGCUGAAACUGGAACGGUACAGAGAAGAUUAGCACGGCUACUGCGCAAGGAUGACACCAAAAAUCGCGAAGUGUUUCACAUUUUU